UGGUGGUUCAGUGGUAGAAUUCUCACCUUUCAGGUGGAAGACCCAGGUUCAAUUCCCGGCCA
rnacentral:tRNA from 1 species